UGGCACAUAUUUUACCAUAUCAUCUGAAAAACUCCUCAUGACGCCAUAGCACCCAUUGAAAUAGAGUGUUUGGAAAAAAACCGAAAUCUUUUGGUCCAGUCUAGAGGGCGUAGUCAGAAGAAAACGGCAACCAAUAGAAGUAAUACUCAUCAUCACUUCUAUUGGUUUCUGACACGUCCAUCAACCGCCAGCACUCACCCCUCCUCCCUGCGCGUUCACCGACUCGUGAACUUGACCGACCCCGCCCCUAUCAUUCAUGCACACGCGACAAGGCUCAUCAUCACUCGGCUAGUAGCAAGGUAACUAGAGUUAGCAGCAGGCUGAGCUACUUGAAAACUUUGGUGGCUUUUGCAGAGCUACAGGAAGAACUUUGGCUUUUGGAACACUGGACUAACCAUGUCAGGAUAACAUACUCCCAUAGUCAUCGGACUCGCAAGACCAGACUCCAACACGGGCUGAAAAUUUGAAAUGGGACCUGACACUCUUGGACACAGAUGUCGGCUACGGCAGCGGCUUCAAAUACGCUUUGGUGACCAUAUUUCGAAUCGAGAGUUGUGCGAACGAGCCAGACAAACCAGCUGGGAGGAGGACGGAAGCACCCCUUCUCCAUCCGCGUUCAGUUGCUAAAUACUGAUUCACCACGUAGUGUGGUGUUUUCCAUAGCUGUUCCUUGCUCCUGUAUCACAACAUAUCAAGGCUGCCAAGUAAAUGAAGAAUGAAUCACCGCACACUGGUCAACAGCAGACAGGGUCCUUCCACAACCACAUACUUAUGCCAGUAAAAGCCACAGCUUUUCUCCUCCAAUCCAAGAAGCCUGGACUGCAGUCACCAUCUCAACACACCAACCAAGAGAAAGGCGGAUGGCUCAAUUCAGUAUGUAGUUCUGCAAAUAUUCUCAAAGGUCUUCACAGCCCCCCAUGGUGCUGAAUGCAUUUACAUUUAUUUGUGUAAGGUAAAAACAAUGCUGAUUACAGAACAUAACUAGGGCCAUGAAUGAAAUUUGAGGUAGCAGCCAGUCAUCACCUGAUGGUGAGAGGUGGUCCUAAGAUCAGAGAGAAGCAGGUUGAAAUCCCAUCCUUACCUCUCCCUACCUACACCUCCAUCCACAGCUGAAGUGCACUUGAGCAAGGCACACAAGUCCACUUAGGUCCUGGGACUGUAGCCAACACCCUGUAAAACCCUGCUGUGUAAUUUGAUGUAAUGAAGCCCUAAUAUAGUCUAACACAUUGCUUGUUACAGAUAUGGAAAAUUGCACAAUAAAAGUUCCAGGACAUGAAGGCUGCAUACUGUGAACGUCAACCUUCAGGGCACCGUCCUGCGCAGAAGACUUUCUACCCUAAGAGGGAUGGCUGACCGCAGACAAUCACAACCAGCACUUACGCCUCCAACCUCAGACUAGGCCCUUCACAGUUGCUGCACUUACCCACCUUCCCAGAGUUUUUGUGUGGUAAUGACAACUGUAAAUAUAGUAUAAAGUAAUGUAUCUAGUGUCAUGUGUAAUACAUUGUUUAAAUUGUCCAUACAUUUCAAUGACAGUAAAUAUUGGUGGACACAAUU